AAGGGUGACGAAGCGACGCCGCGUGUGGGAAGAAGGCCUUCGGGUUGUAAACCACUGUCGGGAGUUAGGAAAUGCAGGUGCGUUAAUAGCGCACUUGCUUGACUAAGGCUCCAGAGGAAGCCACGGCUAACUCUGUGCCAGCAGCCGCGGUAAUACAGAGGCGGCAAGCGUUGUUCGGAAUUAUUGGGCGUAAAGAGCACGUAGGCGGCCUUGCAAGUCAGUUGUGAAAGCCUUCCGCUUAACGGAAGAACGGCAUCUGAUACUACAGGGCUUGAGUACGGGAGGGGAGAGUGGAACUUCUGGUGGAGCGGUGAAAUGCGUAGAUAUCAGAAGGAACGCCGGCGGCGAAAGCGACUCUCUGGUCCGAAACUGACGCUGAGUGUGCGAAAGCUAGGGGAGCAAACGGGAUUAGAUACCCCGGUAGUCCUAGCCGUAAACGAUGGGCACUAAGUAGAGGGGUCU
rnacentral:rRNA from 1 species